ACCUGUGCUGUUCUCUAACACAGGGAGACAGGAAUCCGUCAGAGAUAACCCGAUAAAUAUAAUUGUUGACGGUUUUUCCAGAGUUGAAGCUCGGGUCGCUGUUGUCAGUCGCAGCUGUGGAAGCUUACAGAGUGUCUCCUCUUAUCUCUGUGGGAUGUAGACUCUUUACGUGUGUCUUUUUGGAGAGCUGCGCCGGUCUCCCCUCUUUCUGAGCGAGUGUUUGAGCCCAGCGGUGUUUUAACUGAUCCUGUGCUGGUCUUUGACCUGGAAGUCACAAAUGCAUAGAGGGAAGUAAGGAAGAGAACAACAUAAGGCUUUCAACAUGGUGGAGGAUAAACAGUGCCUGCAGGCUUUACAAGAAGAGGGCAUUAUUGCAUGGUCUGGAAGCUGCUAUUGUGAUUAAAAACUCAAGAGAAAUGAAGAGAGUCCUUUAAAAUGAAGAAGAAACAUGGUGUUGGAUUACCAUGAUGGAAAAAAACCCAAACUGUCUGCCCAUUGAUGUAAUGACUACAGAAAUUGCUUUCUACUGAAAUACACAUUAAACCUCACUUGUAUCUUUACUUGCAUGAGAAGGUGUUAGCAUUAAGCUACAUCUGUCUAAAUGAUAAAGCUACUCUGUAUAGUCUUCUAUUGUGCCUGUAACAUGCAGAUAGCUUGAGGCACUGAUUCACUGGCAGAUGAAGAUGGAUAGACAGUGUUGCAUCGAGUAACUGGAGGGUACUAAAUAAGCUGCUGUGCAAGCAGCUGUAUCUCUGGAUGAGUAAGGGCAGAUAGUAUUUUAACUGACCAAAAAGACUCACUAGAUUUCCCUAGAUGUGCAGCUGCAGAUAGCAGUAGAUUCAAGUUUCAUUGAGCGUGUGAGAGGCUAGGUUGAGAGGGUUGUUUAGUUUGUACAAUGACUACUAGAGAGAGAGUUGAGUUGAUGGAGACCCGGGAAGGAGGUGUGAGGGAGAGGCUGCUCAGAGGUAAAGGCAACCCUGAAAACGAUGUCGAAGCUGAGGAUGACAAACUCUCAGGGGCUUUUGACUGCGGCAUCUGUGGACGCAGCUUCCCGUUUCUCAGUUCGUUGUCGCAGCAUAUGAGACGCCACACGGGUGCUCGUCCUUACAAAUGCCCCUACUGUGACCACAGAGCCUCUCAGAAAGGCAAUCUCAAAGUCCACAUCCGCAGCCACAAACUGGGCACGCUGUCCAGCCACCACUCCAAUGAGGAUGAAGAUGGUGGGGCUGAAGAGGAGGAGAUGAGCGUUUCAGAGGGUCUUGAUGGAGGCACGAGUCCGACUAAGAGCAGCUCAGCCUGUAACCGGAUGAUUAAUGGCGAUAGUAGUGAGGAUAGUCGGAGGAAAGUCCCAGGGAGAAGUGUGAAAAGAGAGAAGUCAGCAAGUGACCAGAGGCCUUACUGCUGCCGUCUUUGUGGUUACGAGGCUCUGAGAGAGGACCAGCUCCUUAGCCACAUUGAAAAGGUCCACAUAACAGUAGACCCAGAGGAGGAGACUGUUGUUAAAGAGGAAGCAGUGGCAGAAACUGACAACCUCCAACCUCAAAGUGAUGGGACCUUCCCAUGUGAAACAUGUGGCCAGGUCUUUACCCAGGCCUGGUUUCUGAAGUCACAUAUGAAGAAGCAUGCCGGAAUCUUAGACCACUGCUGUCGAAUCUGUGGACGACGCUUCCGAGAAGCUUGGUUCCUCAAAUCACACAUGAAAACACACAACACCAAAUCCAGGUCCCGAUCGAAAGCAGAUUCACCUGAAGUUCCUGCAACCAUCAACGAUGUUGCACAGGAUCCUGACAGUGUCACAUGCUCCGUCACAUCCAAUUAUCAAGUGUGUUCCAAAUGUGGUAACCUGUUCCACAACAGAGAGAGCCUGCGGGCCCACGAGAAAGUCCACGGUCUUAGCUAUGGCAAGAAAUCCCAAAGCCAAUCCAGACUCAGUGAUGAUGAGGACUCACCAGCUGCUAAGAGACGCUACCUUGACUACCUAAACCUUCAGCCUAUUCUGAAAAACCCUGAAGAAGAGGAGAAAGAGGAGAGCGAGAAGAUAGUGCUUGGUCAAAGAAUCCCAGAGCUAGAUCCAGUCUGCAGCUACCAGGCCUGGCAAUUAGCAACCAAAGGAAGGGUGGUGGAGCCAGUGGAGCAGAGUUUCAAAGCCUCAAAUGGAGGAGGAAGUAUGGGUGAGGAAGCCCUUGCUGAAGCGGCUGUGGUUUUCGAGAAGGAGAGCAGUAGUUUUGUUCUGCAAAGUCAAGAGAAGCGCAGCACAUCAGGGCGGCGCAGCAGCUCUGGUUUGGGCCAUGCAUCUUCAGGGGACCGGACACCAGAGAGUCUCAGCGACUCUGAGUACAGGCCUUCCUCCCGCCAGGAUCGAAGGAGACCAUCUCAGUCGCAAGCCUCCUCCAGGUCCAACGAGUGUUUCGAGUGUGGGAAGGUGUUUCGCAGUCGUCACCAGUUGAUUGUCCACCAGCGGGUCCACAGAAAGGAUGGAGGUAGAGCAUCUGUGGGAGAAAAGGAAAGAACUGCAUGGGGCUCCACCAGUGAUCCAGAGUCAGGUUCCCCGAGCCGACCCAGCACCCCCGGGUAUGGAGACUCUCCGCCAGCAUCUACACUUGGAGACCAGGCCUCAGAGAUGGGAACAGCAAACUCUGGAGAGAUUACAGAUGAGAAGCCUUACAUCCGCAGCCUCUCUGACUUAGUCACUUCAGAGCUGCAGACUUACUCGACCCAUGCACGUGCCCAACACCCAGCUGCACCUGAUGACAGACCAAGCCCCAUCCCCAGCCCUAGCCCCAGCUCCAGCUCAGACAGAGGCACCCCUAGUGGAUACCCCAAACUGAAGAAAGCUCUCCUUCAGGGUUUAAACAGCUCUUCACCUGGUGCUUACCAUUCAGCUCGAUCCUCCCCGCUUGAUCCAACAUUAACCCCUGUGGAUCUGUGUGUGAGGGCCGAGGGCUGCAGGGGCAUCAUCUCCCUGGACAGGAAGAGCCUUCCUAGCCACAAGUGCUCCUUCUGCUCCCACUCCACCCGCUACCCCGAGGUGCUCUGGAUGCAUCAGACUGUGGCACACCGCAUCAACAGCAGCAGCUCCAAUAUUGCACCAAAAUGGGCCCUGAAAACUAGCACUAAGGGCCCAAGGGACAGUUCAUUAUCCUCCAAGAGACGCACCGGUCCUCCUCCCAUCCUGGAGGGAAAAGAGUGUCCCCCGCUGCCUCCAUUGAUGCGCACCCAACGCACCAGACCCCCUAACUACUCCAGUGAGCUCCAAAAGAAGAGCAAGCCAAGCAGUCAAGCAGCCACACCGUCAUCAUCCUCCGCUACCCCCUCCUCUUCAUUCUCCAGGGGCCCUUCAUCCACCUCAGGCACCCAAGCUGGGAGAGUCCCAGUUCGACCAGGCAACAGCUCCAGCAGGCACACAGAGGAUCAGAGUAAUCAGCCUCGCAUCAGACCCAAAGUGGAUAUUUACCCCCGUGGAGGUUCAUCCUCCUCCUCCAGCUCCUUGGAGAAGAGCACUGGAGUCCUGUCACGCUCCUCGGCUCCGAGCCCCAGCUCUGCCUCGUCAUCCCGGAUUUCUGAGCGCUAUCUGAUGCCUCAGGAGGGUCUGGGCUUCAUGCUGACCAGCAAACACGGCCUUGCAGAGUACAGCCGAGCCAGAGGUUCCCCUCAUCAGCCGCUUCCCAACUCCCACCACAGCCAGAGCCGGGCUAAUGCUACGAGGCCCAGCGCCAUCACCCAUAGCUCUGCUGCAGGACUCAACUAUGGGGCCUCCCAGGCACAUGGAGGCACUCUGCAGAAUCCUUCCUCCUCUUCCUCUUCUUCCUCUUCCUCCUCAUCUGCAUCUUCUUUGCCUUCAGAAGUUCGGGGGAAUGUAAAGCAGGAGCCGAUUGCAGAGACACCGGAGAUGCCCGCUGAUGUUCUCAGCUUCCUGAAGAACUACAGUCCCCAUGAGCUGGCAGCCCUCUACCAUCGCUGGGGUGCAGCCAACGCCCUGCUGGAUCCCACUGUGGACGGAUACAGAGGGCUGAAUAAAGAUUGCUGUUCUUUGAACUAAGGCUAAAGAUUUCUUCUCUGAAUCUCCAGAUAAGUGUGCUAAAUGCUAGCAUUCAUGGCAGCGACACAACAGUUAACAGUGACAUGUGUUCAUGCCCGUUUUAUAUUCUAAUGGUUGAUUUCUGUCAAAAGUGCAAAUAUUAGCAAAUACAGAUGUUAAACCGAUGCAUCCAUGCUCACCAGCGAUGGAUUGGCAACAAGGGGGGCGGACUACAUUUACCAUUAUUGACUUAGACAAGGCCAAAACCAUACAAAAAGAAGUUUUAAGACUACCAUCAAGCACUACUAUCAUGUGAGUGAAAGAGGUUUUCCUUCAUCAUCAGCUCAUAUACAAAUGCCCUCAGGAUGUUUGCUUUGUCAAAGAAAUGUGUGCUGCAUGGUUAGUGAUGUCACCUAACACUAAGAAGGUUCCUGAUUUAAGAGAUCCCUGGUGGUUCUAGUUUUAAAGUCCCAGUCAGAAAGGCUUUUCUGUGUGAAGUUUGCAUGAUCCCCCCAUACUUGUGUGGGCUCUUUCCAGCUUCCUCUUCUGUCCAAUGAUAGUUUGUGACUUUUAAUUGCCCGUAGGUGAGAGUAUUAUUGUCAGCCCUGUGAUCGACUGACCAGUCCAGGGUGCACCCCAUCCCUUGCCCAAUGACAGCUGAGAUCGACUUCAGCCCUCCUGCAACCUGAAACAGAUAAGCAGUAUAGAUAAUCGACGACUGAAGAAAAAAGUUUUCCAAUUUGUGCCUGUUUGGAGUAAAAUUUGCUAAACCCUGAUCAUAGCAAACAUCUGUUACUAUUUAAGAGCAAAAAACAUUACAAUGCAACAUGCAAUGACAAUGAAUUUUUCUAUCUGUCUGUCUAUCUAUCUAUCUAUCUAUCUAUCUAUCUAUCUAUCUAUCUAUCUAUCUAUCAGAAAGACCACAACAGUGCAAUCCAAGUUCGAGACUUGACAUGUGAACCAUAUUCAAUCAUUGAUAAAUACCUUCCCCUUUAACACUCUGACUCUGUCUCUCACAAACACCAUCUGGUAGAAAGUGAUUGACAGACAUGAAUUCUCCUGGAUUCUGACAGGGUUUCUGAAUAAUGAAGAGAAGAUCCAUUAGAUGCACAUGUGUGCUUGCAUGUUUGUGAGAUAAAAUUAAAGGCUGUAACUGGGGCAGCAUGUGUGCCUGUGUGUCCAUAUGUGCUCUGCUUUUUAGAUGCAAAAGUGUGUGUGUAUUUUUUUUUUUUUUUUUUUUUUUUUUACUUUGAAAGACGUGAGAGAACCUUUGCUUCUCUCAGGUCUGCGAGGCAUGCCUAGUCUCCUGCUCCACUCUCCCAGAAAGCUGUCACAAACUGUUUAGGUCACGGCUCUGCCUGACGAGAGACUCGCACAGAUGCGAAUGGAGGGAGGCAAAACAGAGACGGAGAGAGAGAGAGAACAUGUGAGGCAGAGAGAAAGAUGAGACAGAAUAAUUACCCCACCAGCUGCUUUGGAAAUGGUCAUUACCGAACAUCCACGUUAUUUGCCCAUUUUUCGGUUGUGUCUCUAAGGUCAAGUGGGGCUGUACGGAGCCAGAGGUCAGAGACAACAGCCCCAGAGCGGACGCAUGACAUCGCUGUCAGCCGUCCAGGCGCAUAUCGUCACCAUCCGCCUUAGCCCUUUGAGUCACAUGCUAUAAAGUGACCUUUUUUGAGCAACUGAGUUUUCCUCCCAUUUCUCUCUGUAAUAAUCCUACCAGUUUGUGUGUCUGCUUGUGUUUUCCGUCCAGCUCUGUCUUGUCUUUCAUUAGUGCAUCAGUGAGAAGGGCUGGCUGCCCACAGUACAAGUCGAGUAUCCAGAGGCCAGCAGUUGGGCUGCCAGAGACGCUCUCUGUCACCUCCACCGCCUCCAUGUCCUCCUUGUCCUGCUUCCCACCCUCCCCUCUAUGUGGCACAAACAUACACAUAACAAUGAGGCACUGCCCAGGUAUACACUGAAGUCAGUGCUUUAGGGAAUGCAAUACAUGUCCUCCUCGCCAAAAGUACCUCUGAACCCUCAAGGCCCAUGGUCUGUCAGCUGGUAGGUCACAGGAGUUCAUGUGUAUGUGUGUACUACUUGGUGUGUUUGUACUCACCAUGUCAGCAAACUGAUCAAACCAUCUUUGAGUCUCUCUUGCUGCUUUGCCUGUGUCGUCAUCUGCAUAUUUACAGUGCCUUUAAGAAGUAUUCCCCCCUUGGGAUGUUUUGCCUGUGCAUUGAUUUUCAUAUAUCAAUCAUUGUCAAUAUAACUUAGCUUUCUUGAAAAACAAAAAAAAAAAAACUAAAAAAGACCCUCUUCAACAUCAAAGUAUUCUAAAAAAAGUAUUGUCAAAUAAAUAAUGUAAUCUGAAAUAAGCGACUGCAUGAAUAUUCGCCCCUCAGUUUUUAGUAGAUUUGGCUGCAGUCACAGCACUGUGUCUGUGUGGAUAGGUCUCAAUUAGGCUUGCUCAUCUAGACACUGCAAUUUUACUCCAUUCUUCUUUGCAAAACUGCUCUAACUCUGUCUGGUUGCAUGGGGAUCAGGAGUAAACAGUCCUUUUCAAGUCCAGCCAAAAAUUCUCUAUUGGAUUGAGGUCUGGGUUUUGAUUCAGCCACUCAAGAACAUGCACCUUGUCUUUAAACCAUUUCUGUUUAACUUUGGCUGUAUGCUUUAGGCUAUUGUCUUUCUGGAGAGAAAUCUUCCUCUUAGCUGUAGUUUUCUUGCAGACUGAAUAAGAUAGGCUUUAUAAGCCAUCCAGGUCCAGCUGCUAAGAAGCAUCCCUACAGCAUGAUGUUGCUGGGGAUGGUGAUGUGCAGUGUUUGGUGUCCAUCAAACAUAGCAUCUGAUAGCUAAAAAGCACCAUCUCAUCAGAUCAAAUAACUUUCUUCCACUUGAUUUUUGAGCCUCCCCCGUGUGUUUUGAUGAACUCUAGUGGAGAUUUAAUGAAUUUUCUUCAACAGUGGCUUUCUCUUUGCCAUUCUCCCAUAAAGCUUUGACUGGUGGAGAACCCAGGAAACAGUGAAGUCUCUCCCUCCUCAUCUGCUGAAACUUGUAACUCCGUCAGAGUACUCAUAAGGGUCUUAGAUGGGCAGCCUAAUCUAGGCAGAUUUCAAUAACCUUUUCUCUGAGUUGAUUGGAGUGUUCUUUUCACUUCAUGGUGUAAUAGUAGCCAGGAAUACUGAUUAAUCAGUGACUGGACCUUCCAGACACGUGUCUUCAUACUACGAUACUUCACUUCACUUAGGUGAUCCCCAUACAAGCACUGAGACUACAAGCACCAUGUAGCGUAGUAUAGAGUAGUUGACAUUUCUUUGUAGAAAUUUUUUUUUAACUUUGACAUUAAGUUUUUUUUUAAUUCUAAGAGAAUCAGAUCAUUUUUAUGCAAAUAAUUUCCAGCAAAUUUACCCAAGCAUGAUGAGUCUAAUGAAGUGUUUUAAAAAUGCCAACAUUGUCAUUAACAACGACAAGGCAUGAAUUAUUUGAUAUUUCUUUCCUCCUGAACAAACAAUAUGACAAAGUGAAAAGCAUGUCUGAUGACUUGUGAAGUUGUUCCGUGUCAUGUGACAGGAUUUAUGAGUUUUGAAGUCAUCAAAAUUCAACAAGUUUCCUUCUUCAUCGUGACCCAUUAACAGAGGAAGCUGUCUUGUGCAUAUAAAUGAAGUGUUGUUGUGUCAUCCUGCUCUGGUGUGUUAAAGUAGCCAGUGUGUGCCCCAGUCUAUGCCUCACUUUCCUCCCUCGGACCAAACACACACAUACCUCCCAAAACACACACACACAUGCGGAAACACACACCUGACAUGUGACACACGGGCAGCGGAGCGGGCACAUCACAGCCGGGGCGUUUUAAUUGCCUGUAAUUUAUGCGGUGUGUGUGUGUGCUGUGUGUGUCUGGCUGUCAGCCUCUGAGAUGAUGCUGUGUGACAGCUGCAGUCCAGCCCCUGGAGCUAGCCGCUCAUAAUGACACAUUAGACAUACUAAUGAUGCCUGCGCCAGUCCACUACUGACGCUACCUACCUCCGCGGCUCCAGCCGGCCUCUGCUCUUAUGUACACCCACUCACUCUCUGCCCAUUACUGACCUUUACGUCUUCAUUCAAUCUCUGCAAACAUGAAAAUGUCUUCUGACACACAAUAAACUGAUGCUGAUGUUCACCUUUUCAAAUACUCUUCUCAGAAAAAGUCACGUGAAAUCUCGCAUGGAAAUUCAGAGCAUAUGUGGUUUUAGGACACAUUGGCCUCUCUAUGUGAACAUGUUUCUUUGAAAAAGGGGUCUUUCUUGGUGCAGAGUUUUGCCUAAUUCAUACAUUUUUUUGGAUACGUAUACAUUUUCUAAAAGUGAUGAUGGUUAGAAUCAAUCUUCUUUCAAGGGACUCAGAGUGUUCGAAGCAAAAAUCUGGUUAAAGUACAUGGCACAUGAAGAAGAAAAAACAUUAUCUGAGGGCCAUAAUUUAGAAAAGUUCUAGGAACUCUUUCUGCAUUCAUAGAAGUGCUAACCUGACCAUAUCCUGGACUUUUGUUCUUGCAUUUCCUGAAGAAGCUUGAUGUCAGCAAGGUACCAAUCAUCAACUUUUCAUUACUCAAGUGUCAUUAAUAAACUAUUGACAAUGGCGUCCUGUUGAUGGUGUUGUCCUUGCUGGUGAACUAGCAAAAAAUGGAAGUCCUAUAGCUAGAAAGAAAGGGAAGAAAUACUUUUAUGGCUUGGAUUCUAUUCAAAUAUAGUUGAUCUCACCUAUUUUCAAUAGAGCCUCUGCCUCAGUACUUGCUGUAAUUGUUUAUUUCUUUCUCUUUUGUGUCUUUGUUUGUGAUCAGGGAUGCUGAGGUCUCUGAUGCGUCAGGGACAGUACUUCUGCCAUGAGUGCGGGAAGAGUUUCAGUCAGCCGAGCCACCUGCGCACCCAUAUGAGAUCCCAUACAGGGGAGAGGCCAUUCUGCUGCCAGCUCUGCCCAUACCGAGCCUCU